CUUAAGCAUAUCAAUAAGCGGAGGAAAAGAAACCAACAGGGAUUGCCCCAGUAACGGCGAGUGAAGCGGCAACAGCUCAAAUUUGAAAUCUGGCGCAAGCCCGAGUUGUAAUUUGUAGAGGAUGCUUCUAGGUAGCGACCGGUCUAAGUUCCUUGGAACAGGACGUCACAGAGGGUGAGAAUCCCGUACGUGACCGGCCCGCACCUUCCACGUAGCUCCUUCGAAGAGUCGAGUUGUUUGGGAAUGCAGCUCUAAAUGGGAGGUAAAUUUCUUCUAAAGCUAAAUACCGGCCAGAGACCGAUAGCGCACAAGUAGAGUGAUCGAAAGAUGAAAAGCACUUUGGAAAGAGAGUUAAACAGCACGUGAAAUUGUUGAAAGGGAAGCGCUUGCAACCAGACUUUGGGGCGGUGUUCCGCCGGUCUUCUGACCGGUCUACUCGCCGUCCCGAGGCCAACAUCAUCUGGGACCGCCGGAUAAGACCUCGGGAAUGUAGCUCCCCUCGGGGAGUGUUAUAGCCCGUGGUGAUGCGGCGCGUCUCGGGUGAGGUCCGCGCUUCGGCAAGGAUGUUGGCGUAAUGGUUGCCAGCGGCCCGUCUUGAAACACGGACCAAGGAGUCUAACAUCUAUGCGAGUGUUCGGGUGUCAAACCCCUACGCGUAAUGAAAGUGAACGGAGGUGGGAAGGGCAACCUGCACCAUCGACCGAUCCUGAUGUCCUCGGAUGGAUUUGAGUAAGAGCAUGGCUGUUGGGACCCGAAAGAUGGUGAACUAUGCCUGAAUAGGGUGAAGCCAGAGGAAACUCUGGUGGAGGCUCGCAGCGGUUCUGACGUGCAAAUCGAUCGUCAAAUUUGGGUAUAGGGGCGAAAGACUAAUCGAACCAU
rnacentral:rRNA from 1 species